AAAGCCGUACAAGCGCGAGAUACC
rnacentral:siRNA from 1 species